UACGGGGGGAGCAAGCGUUGUUCGGAUUUACUGGGCGUAAAGGGCGCGUAGGCGGCGCAACAAGUCACUUGUGAAAUCUCCGGCUUAACCCGGAGCGGCCAAGUGAUACUGUCGUGCUAGAGUGCGGAAGGGGCUACUGGAAUUCUCGGUGUAGCGGUGAAAUGCGUAGAUAUCGAGAGGAACACCUGCGGCGAAGGCGGGUAGCUGGGCCGACACUGACGCUGAGGCGCGAAGCCAGGGGAGCGAACGGG
rnacentral:rRNA from 1 species